rnacentral:tRNA from 1 species
CAAUUGAUAUCUUAAAUUUAAAGAGUUGAUUUUUUAAAUCAAAAAUGAUAAUUAAAUUAUCUCAAUUGA